rnacentral:tRNA from 1 species
CGGGAUGUGGCUCAGCUUGGCAGAGCGCCACGUUCGGGACGUGGAGGCCGGCGGUUCAAAUCCGCCCAUCCCGACCA